GCCUUCGUGGUGUAACGGUUAGCACACUCGGCGCGUAUUCGAGAGAUCCAGGUUCGAGUCCCGGUGAGGACA
rnacentral:tRNA from 1 species